GCCCUUAUAGCUCAGUGGUAGAGCGCAUCACUCGUAUUCCGCUUCGGCGAUGAUGAGGUCCGUUGUUCAAUCCAGCGUGGGGGCA